AGUUUUUCGGGUGCGCGGGGCAGCCUCUCCUGCCGCGCCGCGUGCGCGCGCUCACGUCGUGGGGACGUGCGGGCCUGUGGUUGGGCGUGGGCGUGAACCCUAGCCCCCCAGUGCCCAGCCGCCACACCCCUGACCCCUCCCUCCUCACUCCCUCGCCACACCGUCGCACCAUCUCCCUCCUCCCUCCUCCCUCAUCACCAGCCGCCGCAACAGGGGAUUUGCGGCCCCUCCAUCAUCACCAGCCGCAGCACCAGGAGAUUUGCCGCCGCCGAGAUCCAGCGUCUUGCAAGGUCCUCGGGUCAGCCUUGUCGCGCCCGCCACUCUGUCGACCAGAUAUGCGCCCUUGACUCCCUCUUCUCUCGCGUCGCGCGGUGCCUGCUGCUCCACCAUGCCACAGUUAACUCGUGGAUGACAGGGCCAUGGACCGGUCCUUAAGGAGAGAAGGAAGAUGAGGGAGAGAGAAGGAAGGAGAGGAGGGAGAAGGAGAGAGGAAAGAGGAGAGUUUGCCACAAAAAUCUUGCUGAGAUCUGAGGAUGAAGAGAAGAAGAAGAAUUUAGCUGAAGGGGUGAAGAAAAUCAAGGCUGAGGUGAGCAUCAUGAAGAUGAGCAGGCGAGUGGCUGAUACAGAGAGCUCCUCGAACGGGGAAGCAGCAUUGUUGGAGGAACUCGAAGAUGAGAAGGUUCCGAAGUCAUGCCUUUGCCUUACUGUUGUGCUGAUACUGGAUGCAACAUUGUGGACCUCUGGUUCGAGCAUGGCCAGCAUGGCCACGGAUUGUAGGGGAGGAAUGUAUUGCCUAAUGAGUUGUAUGCUUUCUUCAGAUCCUCUGUGCUCCCUGUCACAUCUGGCUUGGCCACCUACAGAUUCUUGGGUCCAGGUUCCUGAUCUGAAGCGGAGGAACACGAGGCCGCAUCCAUUAAGUGGCAGAAGGGGGUUGCAACGAUUUUCUUCAGUCUGACAAUCAUAUAGUAAUUAGACGGUGUAGUACUAUGGCGGUGGUAUACUGAUUUGGUGUAAGAAUCACUAACAUGACUUUGCGUGUACAAAUCUUACAGACUUGCUGUUUUUUGUUCAGUUGAAGGGCCCUCCAGGCUUAAGAUCUUUCGAGGAUAAUUGCGUCAUUGAAUCUGAAGGUUAUGCGAUCUCCUAUGUUGCUGCAUGUUGAUCUUCUGUUUUGUUGUAACUCUGUUUUGCUGCUCGAGGACAAUUUCCUGGAUUAAUCUCUAUACUGGAGAUCCAGGAGUCCACCCGAAUUCAGUCUCCAAGAAGCCUUUCAUCCAGGAUGCACCAAAAUUCUAAUGUUAUGUGAAAAGCGUGUGUGCUAGAUGUGGCCACUGUCCAGCGUUUUGAUUUGUCCACUCAGGUGCUUUUGUCUAGGUGGUAACACAACAAGCUGCUUAUCUUGUAGAUACUUAUCAUAUGUACAAUCCUAUGUUCGUUCUGUAUGCAUGUUAGAGCAGGAGCUUCUGCCCCUAUGUGAGUUAUCCUAUGGGAAUUAGCAACUUUGCCUGUACUUUCGAGUGGGCUGAAUCCAAUGCAAGUUUUUGGAGCAGUUGGGUUCCAGAACAAACGACUAGGUAUUCCCAAAGAGGUCAAUCCACUGGUGGCUAGCAUAAUAUCUUCAUGUUGGGACAACGAUCAAAGCAAACAACCAUCGUUCUACCAGCUCUUGUCAUCGCUGAAGAAAUUACAGUGGUUACUUGUUACAGAAAGCCUAUGACAAUUUGCGAGUGUUGUUUGUGCAUUUUACUGGUUUUAUGGCAGGUGCAUGUUUGAAUUCAGAUGGCAGUGGUCUCCUUGUUUACAGUUAUAAGAAUAAUAAAAAUAUUGAUAAUGGUCUUUCCACUAUUACAAUCUCAGAUUGCGUUACUUGCUUCCAUUAGAAAGGAACUGUGGCUCAUGGGUUUACUGGAUGAUCUUUUUGAUAGACAUUUUCAAAAUAGCAUGGUUUAACACAUGGGCUUUCUACUACGAGUAUCAAAUAUGUCCUUGCAAAAUGAAACUAUUUUCAUCGACAACAUGUCUUUAAUGGGUCUCCGCGCUAUUUGGUGCAACGGGUCAACUAGUAUUUAGGAACGGAUGGAGUAUAAGAGUAGACAUGGUGAUAUAUCUCCAGCAUGGUCUACAACAAAAAUGUGCUGGACUGG
rnacentral:rRNA from 1 species